rnacentral:rRNA from 1 species
AUUGAACGCUGGCGGCAGGCCUAACACAUGCAAGUCGAGCGCGCGGCGGACGGGUGAGUAAUGUCUGUGAAACUGCCUGAUGGAGUGGGAUAACUACUGGAGACGGUAGCUCAUACCGCAUACCAUCAGAUGUGCGCAGAUGGGAUUAGCUCGUAGGUGGGGUAAUGGCUAACAUAGGCGACGAUCCCUCGCUGGUCUGAGAGGAUGACCAGCCACACUGGAACUGAGACACGGUCCAGACUCCUAGGGGAGGCAGCAGUGGGGAAUAUUGCACAAUGGGCGCAAGCCUGAUGCAGCCAUGCCGCGUGUGUGAAGAAGGCCGUCGGGUUGUAAAGCACUUUCAGCGGGGAGGCGUUACCCGCAGAAGAAGCACCGGCUAACUCCGUGCCAGCAGCCGCGGUAAUUC